rnacentral:rRNA from 1 species
AUUGAACGCUGGCGGCAGGCCUAACACAUGCAAGUCGGACGGUAGCACAGAGAGCUUGCUCUUCGGUGACGAGUGGCGGACGGGUGAGUAAUGUCUGGGGAUCUGCCCGAUAGAGGGGGAUAACCACUGGAAACGGUGGCUAAUACCGCAUAACGUCGCACGACCAAAGAGGGGGAGCUUCGGGCCUCUCACUAUCGGAUCAACCCAGAUGGGAUUAGCUAGUAGGCGGGGUAAUGGCCCACCUAGGCGACGAUCCCUAGCUGGUCUGAGAGGAUGACCAGCCACACUGGAACUGAGACACGGUCCAGACUCCUACGGGAGGCAGCAGUGGGGAAUAUUGCACAAUGGGCGCAAGCCUGAUGCAGCCAUGCCGCGUGUAUGAAGAAGGCCUUCGGGUUGUAAAGUACUUUCAGCGGGGAGGAAGGCGACGCGGUUAAUAACCGCGUCGAUUGACGUUACCCGCAGAAGAAGCACCGGCUAACUCCGUGCCAGCCGCCGCCGUAA